AGCAGUCGCCGCGGUAAUACGUAGGUGGCGAGCGUUGUCCGGAAUUAUUGGGCGUAAAGCGCACGUAGGCGGCUAUUCAAGUCAGGGGUGAAAGCCCGGGGCUCAACCCCGGAACUGCCUUUGAAACUAGAUAGCUUGAAUCUUGGAGAGGCGAGUGGAAUUCCGAGUGUAGAGGUGAAAUUCGUAGAUAUUCGGAAGAACACCAGUGGCGAAGGCGACUCGCUGGACAAGUAUUGACGCUGAGGUGCGAAAGCGUGGGGAGCAAACAGGAUUAGAUACCCCAGUAGUCCCUGUCUCUUAUAC
rnacentral:rRNA from 1 species